AGUAAGGUCAGCUAACACUAAGCUUUUGGGCCCAUACCCCGGACAUGUCGGUUAAAAUCCUUCCUUUACUA
rnacentral:tRNA from 1 species